UGACGGUACCUGACUAAGAAGCCCCGGCUAACUACGUGCCAGCAGCCGCGGUAAUACGUAGGGGGCAAGCGUUAUCCGGAUUUACUGGGUGUAAAGGGAGCGUAGACGGCUUUGCAAGUCUGAAGUGAAAGCCCGGGGCUCAACCCCGGAACUGCUUUGGAAACUGUAGAGCUAGAGUGCAGGAGAGGUAAGUGGAAUUCCUAGUGUAGCGGUGAAAUGCGUAGAUAUUAGGAGGAACACCAGUGGCGAAGGCGGCUUACUGGACUGUAACUGACGCUGAGGCGCGAAAGCGUGGGUAGCAAACAGGAUUAGAUACCCUG
rnacentral:rRNA from 1 species